UGCCGGGUCGGCUAAGGGUAGGCCAGAAGCCUUUGGAGCUUCCAGUGAAGGUUCGAGUCCUUCCCCGGCAG
rnacentral:tRNA from 1 species